rnacentral:rRNA from 1 species
AUGCUUAACUGCAAGACUGCUCCCACGCCUGUCGACACGAAGGCCAAGGUGUCCGCCGUCGAGGGUUCUCCGGCAUCAGACGCUCCCUUCUACUGCUCCAUCAUCGGUGCGCUUCAGUACCUCACACUGACGCGUCCGGAUAUUCAGUACACUGUCCAGCAGGUGUGCCUUCAUAUGCAUGCUCCUCGUGACACCCAUUGGGCUCUUGUGAAACAUAUACUUCGGUACAUACAUGGCACCACAGCCAUGGGUCUCACCCCGACGGCAUCACCUGACACCAGCCUUGUCACCUACUCCAACACCGACUGGGCUGGGUGUCCCGACACUUGA